GUGGGGAAUCUUGUGCAAUGGGCGAAAGCCUGACGCAGCCAUGCCGCGUGAAUGAUGAAGGUCUUAGGAUUGUAAAAUUCUUUCACCGGGGACGAUAAUGACGGUACCCGGAGAAGAAGCUCCGGCUAACUUCGUGCCAGCAGCCGCGGUAAUACGAAGGGGGCUAGCGUUGCUCGGAAUUACUGGGCGUAAAGGGCGCGUAGGCGGACAGCUUAGUCAGAGGUGAAAGCCCAGGGCUCAACCUUGGAAUUGCCUUUGAUACUGGCUGUCUUGAGUUUGGGAGAGGUGAGUGGAACUCCGAGUGUAGAGGUGAAAUUCGUAGAUAUUCGGAAGAACACCAGUGGCGAAGGCGACUCACUGGCCCGUUACUGACGCUGAGGCGCGAAAGCGUGGGGAGCAAACAGGAUUAGAUACCCGGGUAGUCC
rnacentral:rRNA from 1 species